rnacentral:rRNA from 1 species
UACGGGGGGGCAAGCGUUGUUCGGAAUUACUGGGCGUAAAGGGCUUGUAGGUGGCCAACUAAGUCAGACGUGAAAUCCCCCGGCUUAACCGGGGAACUGCGUCUGAUACUGGAUGGCUAGAGAUUGGGAGAGGGACGCGGAAUUCCAGGUGUAGCGGUGAAAUGCGUAGAUAUCUGGAGGAACACCGGUGGCGAAGGCGGCGUCCUGGACCAACACUGACACUGAAAAGCGAAAGCCAGGGGAGCAAACGGG